rnacentral:rRNA from 1 species
GGGAGGCAGCAGUGGGGAAUUUUGGACAAUGGGCGAAAGCCUGAUCCAGCAAUGCCGCGUGCAGGAUGAAGGCCUUCGGGUUGUAAACUGCUUUUGUACGGAACGAAAAAGCUUCUCCCAAUACGAGAGGCCCAUGACGGUACCGUAAGAAUAAGCACCGGCUAACUACGUGCCAGCAGCCGCGGUAAUACGUAGGGUGCGAGCGUUAAUCGGAAUUACUGGGCGUAAAGCGUGCGCAGGCGGUUAUGUAAGACAGAUGUGAAAUCCCCGGGCUCAACCUGGGAACUGCAUUUGUGACUGCAUGGCUAGAGUACGGUAGAGGGGGAUGGAAUUCCGCGUGUAGCAGUGAAAUGCGUAGAUAUGCGGAGGAACACCGAUGGCGAAGGCAAUCCCCUGGACCUGUACUGACGCUCAUGCACGAAAGCGUGGGGAGCAAACAGGAUUAGAUACCCUGGUAGUCCACGCCCUAAACGAUGUCAACUGGUUGUUGGGAAUUAGUUUUCUCAGUAACGAAGCUAACGCGUGAAGUUGACCGCCUGGGGAGUACGGCCGCAAGGUUGAAACUCAAAUGAAUUGACGG